UGGCGGUGGCCACGGAGGA
rnacentral:snRNA from 1 species